UAGGAAUUAAAGCAUGAAGAUUGGAACACAGCCAUGUUUCCUGCACCAGUGACACCUUGCUGGAGGACCAAUGCCGAGAAUCAUCAUCACUUCUGCUGAGAACAUGGCUAACCUGGGGACCAUGAGAGGAAACCUGUCACAUGACCAUGUUGCUAUGGGAACUGUCUGGGACUUUUUUCGCUUGGUGCUGUUGUCAUGUUGAUCGAAGUGAUCGGGAGGAAACAUCGACCUGACAGGAAGAGAAUCAAACUGAAGCAGAGGUUGAGUAUGACAGCAUGGAAGAUCAAACACACCAGGCCUGGCUUUGUUCUCUCAGCCUAGUUUAUUGUAUACAGCUUCUGUACAGGUUAAUGACACACAGUCUACUUCCUCAUCCAGCUGAUCCUCUUGGAGAUGGAGAAGUCGUUAAGGUGAAAAGGAACUGUGAAGGACUCUUGAACUCGUUAACAGGCAGGAAUAGAGGAAAUAAUGCUGGUGAGAGAAAAGAAGACUGAGAGAGAAAAUAAAGGGUGAGGGGGAAAAUAAAGGACGUGUAGGGAAUUAGAGAAGCAGGAGAAGAAACAAAUCGGAGGUGAAGCAAGAAAAACUGAAAUCCUUUUUUCCUCGUCACAGUCGGUGGUCUGGAUUUCACCCUCAGGAGCUUUCACACGUUUCUAAGCGACAGAACCUCAGCGCCAGCUUUAAGCAGUUUAUACAAAUAACACUGAAGUGAAAUCUACAUUUAUAUGAGUAUAUAAUCAUUUUUUCUAUAUGUUUUACUUUAAUACUUUUUAAUCAAUUAAUUUUUUUUUUUCUUUGCAAGUAAAUUGUAUUUAAAGGUACAUGUGUUUGUGCAUUCUUUUAAAUGUCAUUAAUGUUAAUUUGUAGAGCGUUUUUAACAAUAAAUGUCUCAAAUCAGUUGUACAGAAAUAAAGCAAUUAUAAAAGCA